AUCUUCUCGUGGGAAGAUGGGAGCCGUUGGUGAGAUACCACUCUAACAAUGCUAGGAUUCUAACCCUACACCGUUAUCCGGUUAGGGGACAGUUUCAGGUGGUCAGUUUGACUGGGGCGGUCGCCUCCCAAAAAGUAACGGAGGCGUGCAAAGGUUUCCUCAGGCUGGUCGGAAAUCAGUCGUAGAGUGUAAAGGCAUAAGGAAGCUUGAUUGUGAGACCUACAAGUCGAACAAAGAC
rnacentral:rRNA from 1 species